rnacentral:rRNA from 1 species
ACUUUCAACAACGGAUCUCUUGGCUCUUGCAUCGAUGAAGAACGCAGCGAAAUGCGAUAAGUAAUGUGAAUUGCAGAAUCCAGUGAAUCAUCGAAUCUUUGAACGCACCUUGCGCCCUUUGGUAUUCCGAGGGGCAUGCCUGUUUGAGAGUC